CUGCUGCCUCCCGUAGGAGUUUGGGCCGUGUCUCAGUCCCAAUGUGGCCGGUCACCCUCUCAGGUCGGCUACUGAUCGUUGCCUUGGUGAGCCGUUACCUCUCCAGCUAGCUAAUCAGACGCGGGUCCAUCUCAUACCACCUCAGUUUUUCACACCAAACCAUGCGGUUUUGUGCGCUUAUGCGGUAUUAGCAGUCAUUUCUAACUGUUAUCCCCCUGUAUGAGGCAGGUUACCCACGCGUUACUCACCCG
rnacentral:rRNA from 1 species